UACAGAGGGUGCAAGCGUUAAUCGGAAUUACUGGGCGUAAAGCGUGCGUAGACGGUUACAUAAGUCAGAUGUGAAGGCCCCGGGCUCAACCUGGGAAUUGCAUUUGAGACUGCGUAGCUAGGGUGCGGAAGAGGGAAGCGGAAUUCCGGUGUAGCGGUGAAAUGCGUAGAUAUCGGAAGGAACACCAGUGGCGAAAGCGGCUUCCUGGUCCAGCACCGACGUCAGGCACGAAAGCGUGGGGAGCAAACAGG
rnacentral:rRNA from 1 species